rnacentral:rRNA from 1 species
CUACGGGUUGCAGCAGUGGGGAAUAUUGGACAAUGGGGAAAACCCUGAUCCAGCAAUGCCGCGUGUGUGAAGAAGGCCUGCGGGUUGUAAAGCACUUUCGGUUGGGAGGACUGCUUCUAGCACUAAUAUUGUUGGAAGUUGACGUUACCUUCAGAAGAAGCACCGGCUAACUCCGUGCGCAGCAGCCGCGGUAAUACGGAGGGUGCACGCGUUAAUCGGAAUUACUGGGCGUAAAGCGCGCGUAGGCGGCUAGAUCAGUCGGGUGUGAAAGCCCCGGGCUUAACCUGGGAACUGCAUCCGAUACUGUCUAGCUUGAGUACAGGAGAGGAGAGUGGAAUUCCACAUGUAGCGGUGAAAUGCGUAGAUAUGUGGAGGAACACCAAUGGCGAAGGCAGCUCUCUGGCCUGAUACUGACGCUGAGGUGCGAAAGCGUGGGGAGCAAACAGGAUUAGAUACCCCCGUAGUC